rnacentral:rRNA from 1 species
AAUGAACGCUGGCGGCGUGCUUAACACAUGCAAGUCGAACGAGGCUGAGGGGGCAACUCCUCAGUUUAGUGGCGGACGGGUGAGUAACACGUGGGUAACCUGCCCGGAAGUGGGGGAUACCUCGGGGAAACUCGAGCUAAUACCGCAUAACAUCUUUGGGACGAAAGUUCUGACGAUCAAAGCGGGGUCGCAAGAUCUCGCGCUACCGGAUGGGCCCGCGCCCGAUUAGCUAGUUGGUGAGGUAACGGCUCACCAAGGCUUCGAUCGGUAACCGGCCUGAGAGGGCGAUCGGUCACACCGGAACUGAGACACGGUCCGGACUCCUACGGGAGGCAGCAGUGGGGAAUCUUGCGCAAUGGGCGAAAGCCUGACGCAGCAACGCCGCGUGUGUGAUGAAGGUCUUCGGAUUGUAAAGCACUUUCGACCGGGACGAACACCUGCUGGCCAAUAUCCAGCAGCCUGACGGUACCGGGAGAAGAAGCACCGGCUAACUCUGU